rnacentral:SRP_RNA from 1 species
GGGCAUGGUGGCGCAUACCUAUAGUGCCAUCUACUCGGGAGGCUGAGGCUGGAAGAUCACUUGAGCUCAGGAGUUCUGGGCGGCAGUCCGCUAUGCUGAUCGGGUGUCCGCACUAAGUUCGGUAUCAGUAUGAUGAUCCUCUGGGAGCGGAGGGUUACCAGGUUGCCUAAAGAGGGGUGAACCAGCCCAGAUCGGAAAUGGAGCAGGUCAAAACUCCUGGCCAAUCAGUAGUUAUGUAAGUGCUUAGUACAGUGCUCUGCACACAAUAAGUGCUCAAUAAAUACGAUU